AUUGAACGCUAGCGGCAGGCCUAACACAUGCAAGUCGGACGAGCGGCGGACGGGUGAGUAAUGUCUGGGGAUCUGCCUGAUGGAGGGGGAUAACUACUGGAAACGGUAGCUAAUACCGCAUACCAUCAGAUGUACCCAUAUGGGAUUAGCUAGUAGGUGAGGUAACGGCUCACCUAGGCGACGAUCCCUAGCUGGUCUGAGAGGAUGACCAGCCACACUGGGACUGAGACACGGCCCAGACUCCUACGGGAGGCAGCAGUGGGGAAUAUUGCACAAUGGGCGCAAGCCUGAUGCAGCCAUGCCGCGUGUAUGAAGAAGGCCUUCGGGUUGUAAAGUACUUUCAGUCGGGAGGCGUUACCCGCAGAAGAAGCACCGGCUAACUCCGUGCCAGCCGCCGCGGUAAUAC
rnacentral:rRNA from 1 species